UACGGGGGGUGCGAGCGUUGUCCGGAAUCACUGGGCGUAAAGGGCGCGUAGGUGGUUUGAUAAGGGUGUGGUGAAAGUCCGGAGCUCAACUCCGGAUCUGCCGUGCCGACUGUCAAACUCGAGGACUGGAGAGGAGAUUGGAAUUCACGGUGUAGCAGUGAAAUGCGUAGAUAUCGUGAGGAAGACCAGUGGCGAAGGCGGAUCUCUGGACAGUUCCUGACGCUGAGGCACGAAGGCCAGGGGAGCAAACGGG
rnacentral:rRNA from 1 species